CCCUUAGAUGUUCUGGGCCGCACGCGCGCUACACUGAUGCAUUCAACGAGCCUAUCCUUGACCGACAGGUCCGGGUAAUCUUUGAAUCUGCAUCGUGACGGGGAUAGAUUAUUGCAAUUAUUAAUCUUCAACGAGGAAUGCCUAGUAGGCGCAAGUCAUCAGCUUGCGUCGUUUACGUCCCUGCCCUUUGUACACACCGCCCGUCGCUCCUACCGAUUGGGUGUGCUGGUGAAAUGUUCGGAUCGGCCGUUUGUCGCGGUUUCCGCGUCAUGUGGCUGAGAAGUUCAUUAAACCCUCCCACCUAGAGGAAGGAGAAGUCGUAACA
rnacentral:rRNA from 1 species